UACAGAGGGUGCGAGCGUUAAUCGGAAUUACUGGGCGUAAAGCGUGCGUAGACGGUUAUUUAAGUCGGAUGUGAAAGCCCCGGGCUCAACCUGGGAAUUGCAUUCGAGACUGAAUAGCUAGGGUACGGUAGAGGGAAGUGGAAUUUCCGGUGUAGCGGUGAAAUGCGUAGAUAUCGAGAGGAACACCUGCGGCGAAGGCGGGUUGCUGGGCUGAUACUGACGCUGAUGCGCGAAAGCCAGGGGAGCGAACGGG
rnacentral:rRNA from 1 species